rnacentral:rRNA from 1 species
GACGAACGCUGGCGGCGUGCUUAACACAUGCAAGUCGAACGGACAGACAGAGAGCUUGCUCUCUUGAAGUUAGUGGCGAACGGGUGAGUAACGCGUAAUCAACCUGCCCUUCAGAGGGGGAUAACAACGGGAAACCGUUGCUAAUACCGCGUACGAUUCAUGAACGGCAUCGUUUAUGAAUGAAAGGUGGCCUCUAUGUAUAAGCUAUCGCUGAAGGAGGGGAUUGCGUCUGAUUAGCUAGUUGGAGGGGUAACGGCCCACCAAGGCAAUGAUCAGGAGCCGGUCUGAGAGGAUGAACGGCAACAUUGGGACUGAGACACGGCCCAAACUCCUACGGGAGGCAGCAGUGGGGAAUCUUCCGCAAUGGACGAAAGUCUGACGGAGCAACGCCGCGUGAGUGAUGAAGGUCUUCGGAUUGUAAAGCUCUGUUAAUCGGGACGAAAGAGUUCUGCGUGAAUAAUGCAGAAAAGUGACGGUACCGGAAUAGAAAGCCACGGCUAACUACGUGCCAGCCGCCGCGGUAA